rnacentral:rRNA from 1 species
UCUCCCAUUGUCCAGCACGGGCCACUGAAGAAGAUGAAGGGAAGCCAGGGCUCUAGGCGUUGCACACAUCGCGGGGUGGAGGAGAGGUUGGCGUUGGGCGCAAGGAGCAGCAGGUGGGGAAUGGUAGGGCUAUAUCUCCCAUUGUCCAGCACGGGCCACUGAAGAAGAUGAAGGGAAGCCAGGGCUCCUCAAAUGGCGGCUGCUCCUCUUUGGCUUGGACCAGAAGCCAGGCAGCUGCGUAAGUGCAGAGAAGCGAGCAGAGCAACUGGUGCAGCCGCCUCCUCCCCUCGCUUGCUUCCUCCUGGAGCGUCUGUUCCAGUUCUCUCUCUCUCUCUCUCUCUCUCUCUGGAUUUGCUUAUGAAUUGACUCGUGUUGUUGAUUGCUUUGCAGGUUUGGGUUCAGAUAGAAGAGCUCCAUGCUUACAAACUUUUGGGAUAACCGAGUUUAUCAAUGCCAAAAAAAUAAUCAUCGGGUUUUCAAGUGUAGGCAUCAUGUGAAAGCCCAGCAUAAUUUCUAAGUUGUAUGGCAUCCAUCCCGAUAAUUUGUUCUGCACCAUGCUGCCUCAUGUAGGAUUUUGGUGCUCGUGAUCUACUUUGCUUAGGAGCGCGGCGCUUUGCUGACCAAGAAGAUUGAGAGGGGGAGCCAAUUGCUAGAGAGCGAGAAGGCCCGAACUGCUGCGUUGGAGGCCUCUGUAUCCGAUUGCAUCUCCGAGGAGCAAUAUUACGAGAUGUGUCGUCGUCAUAGCUUGGUUUGGAAGGUGGCCAGCAAUUAUCGGAGCAUCGCCGAGUUGGGUGCUUUGGAGGCCCGUUCAUGCCAGGAAUUAUUGUUGAAAACGCGAGACGCUGGGGAUUCAAACCAAAACAUUGCCUCCGGUCUCCGGGCAAUGGUGCAAAAUGAGAGAGACAGACUGACCUGUGGCGACAAAUCCAGUCCGUCCGGGAUGAGAUUGAAGCUUCAGGGAAGGGUGAGAGCCCUUCGAUUGCCGAGGAGACCGCCCUGCUGAGAGGUCGGUCAACGCAUGUCGGUGGAACUGUCAGACCAAUACGGCCAAAUAGCCAAGCUCCAGGAGGCCGCCCGAGGUAUUUUUCCAUAAAUGUAUAUUGUGCCGGAUCAAGACAGCCUUGGUGUCGUCACUAUUGUUCUUCAACAGAUGUCCUAGGCGCUGACCUGUGUGGCAGGUUCGAUGUGGAUCUCGCAGGAUGCUGAUGUCCACUUGGGUCCAUUGAUCGAACGUGCUGGAUCGCUUGGCCGACCUCCAAGAAGCUGCCGCCAAGGAAGGAGCAUGACCCGUGCUUGCACGCUUGAGGUCGCGCUAUCCUGAGGUCUCAACUCAUGUUGUUGCGACCUCCAUUCCUGACGAAUUUCUUGAUGGUGGCGACUGGAUGUGAGCCUGAAAGAGUAGGAACAUUUGUUGGCCGUGUGUGGCGUUAGGCAAUGUCAACUUUGUUACAAUUUUUAUGUUUCAACUUUUGUAGUUUGAAUUCUUGUUUGAUGCCUGACCAAGCGCACGUGGGAGGGCAUCUCUAUUUCUCGCUUUAAGUGAGCACAGGCGAAGCCUCACGUGUUGAAGAGCCCUAGAUGGGCCGGCCCAGCCGCGCGGGAGGCUACGGCAUGUUUUUUUU